AGUUUAAAACAAGCAUAAAUCUUUCCAGCUGUUCUUGAAAAAAUACAUGAUACAACAUUUAUAUUUCAGUGGAUGUAUACUGUGAUGUUUUUAUAGCAAAUAAUAAUAAUAAUAAUAAUAAUAAUAAUAAUAAUAGUUGAAGUGUAGCUGUAAUUGUCUUCUCAGGUGUUUCUCCUCCAGUCUCUCUGAUCGUCAGUCCCAGCAGAACUCAACACUUCACAUACGUCUCUCUCUCUCUGAGCUGUGAGGACCAGAACAUACAGAGACGGUGGGCAUCUGGAAGAUUGUUCAUCAGUGUGGGGAUCACAAACAGGAUCUAUGUGUACAAUCAGAUCCACCAUCCCAGAGGACACUGGAGUGUACUGGUGUGAGUCUGAAUCUGGAGAGAACAGUCCUCCUGUUAAUAUCACUGUACACCGUGGAAGAUCUCAGUCUGCCUCUCGUGUGAGUCAACAGCAGAAGAGCAGUCAGACAUCAGAGCAGAACCAGAGUGAAGCAGGACAUAAAACACUCAUGUCUGGAACUGCUCAUAUUUAUGACUCUCUUGAUGCCACAAUUAAUAAAGACAUAAGCACAGGUAAUGUAGACAUUGUAAGUGGACCUUCUGAACUCACCUAUGCUGAGAUUGAGCUCAAAUCUACAGAGAAACAGAAGAAAAAGAAAGAAAACAAAGCAACAAACACCACCAGCAUUUUCCUAAACAGCCGUUGUG
ensembl:lncRNA